GAUGAACGCUGGCGGCGUGCCUAAUACAUGCAAGUCGAGCGAACAGACGAGGAGCUUGCUCCUCUGACGUUAGCGGCGGACGGGUGAGUAACACGUGGAUAACCUACCUAUAAGACUGGGAUAACUUCGGGAAACCGGAGCUAAUACCGGAUAAUAUAUUGAACCGCAUGGUUCAAUAGUGAAAGACGGUUUUGCUGUCACUUAUAGAUGGAUCCGCGCCGCAUUAGCUAGUUGGUAAGGUAACGGCUUACCAAGGCGACGAUGCGUAGCCGACCUGAGAGGGUGAUAGGCCACACUGGAACUGAGACACGGUCCAGGCUCCUACGGGAGGCAGCAGUAGGGAAUCUUCCGCAAUGGGCGAAAGCCUGACGGAGCAACGCCGCGUGAGUGAUGAAGGUCUUCGGAUCGUAAAACUCUGUUAUGAGGGAAGAACAAAUGUGUAAGUAACUAUGCACGUCUUGACGGUACCUAAUCAGAAAGCCACGGCUAACUACGUG
rnacentral:rRNA from 1 species